GAGAGUUCUCUUUCAGUCCACUAAAGGAAGGUUGCCUGUUGGAAACAGCCACCUAUUUAUUCAUUCACCAACUCAAUCUUUUACACACAGACGGCACGACUGGGUUGAUUUGUGAAUGAUGUGGGAGCUGAUUUCGUCCUGUAAACGUCUUUUCUUGAACUGAAGGGAGCUCCC
rnacentral:pre_miRNA from 1 species